GACGAACGCUGGCGGCGUGCUUAACAAAUGCAAGUCGAACGAAGUGGCGAACGGGUGAGUAAUACGUGGGUAACUGCCCUCCUUUUUGGGAUAAGCCUUGGAAAAGGGGUAUAAUACCGCAUAAAGGGGGAUGGUUCGCGGCCUAUCAGCUUGUGGGUGGGGUGAUGGCCUACAAAGGCGACGACGGGUAGCCGGCCUGAGAGGGAGACCGGCCACAUUGGGCUGAGAUACGGCCCAAACUCCUACGGGGGGCAGCAGUGGGGAAUAUUGCACAAUGUGGGAAACCCUGAUGCAGCAACGCGCGUGCGGGAUGACGGCCUUCGGGUUGUAACCCGCUUUCAGCCAUGACGCGGUAGUGGCAGAAGAAGCACCGGCUAACUACGUGCCAGCAGCCGCGGUAAUAC
rnacentral:rRNA from 1 species